AUGCAUGGCAGGAGAUGGUGAGUGAGCAUGGACUCCAGAAUGAUCCACAUUGCAUGGUCUGUAUGAGCACCGUUCAAGUUGGAUUGUUGCAUACUUCAAAGGCAUUUUCUGCGGGACAAUGACAUCGACUCAACGUUGUGAGAGCACCAACAGAAUGGUGAAAAGAUAUCACGUCGAUAAGUCAACACCUCUGCAUAUGUUUGCCAGAAGAAUGUACCAAAUGUUGCAAAGGAGAAAAUAUGAUGAAGGCCUAGAAAUAGUUUAUUCGCAGGACCCUCCUGAUACAAAAACAAACUACCCUCUAGAACAUCUACUAGGCAGAAUCUAUACCCGUGCAGUAUUCAGAAAAUACCAAGACACCUAUUUUGCUGCAACAUACUCCCUCCGUCCCAAAAUAGAGGGACCUACCUUUUCAUGGUCAUAGCAUGAGUUUAAAGUAGUUUGCAAUGAAGAGGAAGAAAAGUACACAUGUGAGUGCAGAGGGUGGGAGCAAGGUAAGCAAAAUAUGGAUCUCCAAAAUUUUACACAUGGAAAAUAGCAUGAUUGGAACUACAUUUAUAUUAAUUAUGCGUGUCAUUGUGCAGGACUGCUAUGCCCACACAUCAUCAUACUAUUGAUAAAUGAGCAGAUUUAGAAGAUCCCUAGCCAGUACGUGCUAAGAAGAUACUCGAGGAAUGCACAUAUUGACCUGCCCUAUGGCAGG